rnacentral:rRNA from 1 species
CCUACGGGUGGCAGCAGUGGGGGAUAUUGGGCAAUGGGGGCAACUCUGACCCAGCAACGCCGCGUGAAUGAUGAAGGUCUUCGGAUUGUAAAGUUCUGUGAUGGGGGAUGAACACAAUGACGGUACCCCAAUAGCAAGCCACGGCUAACGACGUGCCAGCAGCGGCGGUAAUACGUAGGUGGCAAGCGUUAUCCGGAAUGACUGGGCGUAAGGGGGGCGGAGGUGGUUUAGUAAGUUGGCGGUGUAAUGCCGGGGCCCAACCUCGGCGCUACCGCCAAAACUAUCAGACUGGAGUGCAGGAGGGGCAGGUGGAAUUCCUAGUGUAGCGGUGGAAUGCGUAGAUAUUAGGAGGAACAUCAGGGGCGAAGGCGACCUACUGGACUGUAACUGACACUGAGGCACGAAAGCGUGGGGAGCAAACAGGAUUAGAUACCCUAGUAGUC